AUUGAACGCUGGCGGCAUACCUUACACAUGCAAGUCGAACGGUAACAGGUCUUCGGAUGCUGACGAGUGGCGAACGGGUGAGUAAUACAUCGGAACGUGCCCGAGAGUGGGGGAUAACGUGGCGAAAGCUUUGCUAAUACCGCAUACGAUCUCAGGAUGAAAGCAGGGGACCGCAAGGCCUUGCGCUCACGGAGCGGCCGAUGGCAGAUUAGGUAGUUGGUGGGAUAAAAGCUUACCAAGCCGACGAUCUGUAGCUGGUCUGAGAGGACGACCAGCCACACUGGGACGGAGACACGGGCCAGACUCCUACGGGAGGCAGCAGUGGGGAAUUUUGGACAAUGGGCGCAAGCCUGAUCCAGCCAUGCCGCGUGCAGGAUGAAGGCCUUCGGGUUGUAAACUGCUUUUGUACGGAACGAAAAGACUCUGGUUAAUACCUGGGGUCCAUGACGGUACCGUAAGAAUAAGCACCGGCUAACUACGUGCCAGCAGCCGCAGUAAUAC
rnacentral:rRNA from 1 species